AGCGGCGGACGGGUGAGUAACACGUGGGUAACCUGCCUGUAAGACUGGGAUAACUCCGGGAAACCGGGGCUAAUACCGGAUGCUUGUUUGAACCGCAUGGUUCAGACAUAAAAGGUGGCUUCGGCUACCACUUACAGAUGGACCCGCGGCGCAUUAGCUAGUUGGUGAGGUAACGGCUCACCAAGGCGACGAUGCGUAGCCGACCUGAGAGGGUGAUCGGCCACACUGGGACUGAGACACGGCCCAGACUCCUACGGGAGGCAGCAGUAGGGAAUCUUCCGCAAUGGACGAAAGUCUGACGGAGCAACGCCGCGUGAGUGAUGAAGGUUUUCGGAUCGUAAAGCUCUGUUGUUAGGGAAGAACAAGUGCCGUUCAAAUAGGGCGGCACCUUGACGGUACCUAACCAGAAAGCCACGGCUAACUACGUGCCAGCAGCCGCGGUAAUACGUAGGUGGCAAGCGUUGUCCGGAAUUAUUGGGCGUAAAGGGCUCGCAGGCGGUUUCUUAAGUCUGAUGUGAAAGCCCCCGGCUCAACCGGGGAGGGUCAUUGGAAACUGGGGAACUUGAGUGCAGAAGAGGAGAGUGGAAUUCCACGUGUAGCGGUGAAAUGCGUAGAGAUGUGGAGGAACACCAGUGGCGAAGGCGACUCUCUGGUCUGUAACUGACGCUGAGGAGCGAAAGCGUGGGGAGCGAACAGGAUUAGAUACCCUGGUAGUCCACGCCGUAAACGAUGAGUGCUAAGUGUUAGGGGGUUUCCGCCCCUUAGUGCUGCAGCUAACGCAUUAAGCACUCCGCCUGGGGAGUACGGUCGCAAGACUGAAACUCAAAGGAAUUGACGGGGGCCCGCACAAGCGGUGGAGCAUGUGGUUUAAUUCGAAGCAACGCGAAGAACCUUACCAGGUCUUGACAUCCUCUGACAAUCCUAGAGAUAGGACGUCCCCUUCGGGGGCAGAGUGACAGGUGGUGCAUGGUUGUCGUCAGCUCGUGUCGUGAGAUGUUGGGUUAAGUCCCGCAACGAGCGCAACCCUUGAUCUUAGUUGCCAGCAUUCAGUUGGGCACUCUAAGGUGACUGCCGGUGACAAACCGGAGGAAGGUGGGGAUGACGUCAAAUCAUCAUGCCCCUUAUGACCUGGGCUACACACGUGCUACAAUGGGCAGAACAAAGGGCAGCGAAACCGCGAGGUUAAGCCAAUCCCACAAAUCUGUUCUCAGUUCGGAUCGCAGUCUGCAACUCGACUGC
rnacentral:rRNA from 1 species